rnacentral:rRNA from 1 species
GGAGGAUGCCUUGGUACAUGGCGCCGAAGAAGGACGUGACAAGCUGCGAAAAGCCGCGGUGAGCUGCAAAUGAGCGAUUGUAGCCGCGGAUAUCCGAAUGAGGGAACUCACCGUAAGUAAUGUUACGGUAUUGCAUGAUGAAUCAAUAGUCAUGCAAGGGGAACCCGGGGAACUGAAACAUCUAAUUACCCGGAGGAAAAGAAAGAAAAAUCGAUUCCGAAAGUAGUGGCGAGCGAAAUCGGAAGAGCCCAAACUUAAUAUAGAAAUAUAUUAAGGGUUUAGGUACGGCAAAAAGCAGACAGAAGUUAGCGGAACGGUUUGGAAAGACCGAUCGAAGAGGGUAACAAUCCCGUACGCGAAAACAGACGAAAGCGAGCCGCAACCGGAGUACGUCGGGACACGAGGAAUCCUGACGGAAGAAAGGAGGACCAUCUCCGAAGGCUAAAUACGACCAUGUGACCGAUAGAGUAUAGUACCGUGAGGGAAAGGUGAAAAGCACCCCGGGAGGGGAGUGAAAGAGAACCUGAAACCCUAUGCUUACAAGCAGACACAGCAACCGCAAGGAAGUGGUGUCGUACUUUUUGUAGAACGGGCCGGCGAGUUACGAUGUUAUGCGAGAUUAAGCGGUAAAGCCGCGAAGUCGAAGCGAAAGCGAGUCUGAACAGGGCGAAGUAAAGUAUAAUGUCGUAGACCCGAAACCGGAUGACCUAACCAUGAACAGGUUGAAGCAGCGGUAAAACGCUGUGGAGGACCGAACACACGCCUGUUGAAAUAGUCGGUGAUGAUUUGUGGUUAGCGGAGAAAUUCCAAUCGAAUCCGGAUAUAGCUGGUUCUCCUCGAAAUAGCUUUAGGGCUAGCCUGUCGCAAGAAUACCGAAGGUAGAGCACUGUAUGGUCUAGGGGGUUUCACGACCUACCGAAACUUAACAAACUUCGAAUGACGGAUAUUUGAUGCGAUGGAGUCAGACGGCGACAGAUAAGUGCCGUCGUCAAAAGGGAAACAGCCCAGAUCCACAGCUAAGGUCCCAAAGUACAGGUUAAGUGGUAAACGAUGUGUCAUUGCAUAAACAACCAGGAUGUUGGCUUAGAAGCAGCCACACAUUCAAAGAGUGCGUAAUAGCUCACUGGUCGAGUGAUGAUGCGCGGAAGAUUACCGGGGCUAAAACCUGACACCGAAGCUUGGGGAUAUGAGAAAUCAUAUCGGUAGAGGAGCAAUGUAUAGAGGUUGAAGUUAGAUCGAAAGAUUUAAUGGACGAAAUACAAGAGAGAAUGCCGGCAUAAGUAGCGAGAGAGAGGCGAGAAACCUCUCCGUCGAGAGUCUGAGGUUUCCUGGGGAAGGUUCGUCCGCCCAGGGUUAGUCGGGGCCUAAGUCGAGGUCGAAAGGCGUAGAUGAUGGACAACCGGUGCAAAUUCCGGUACUACCGAAAUUCGUUUAAAUGAAGCAGUGACACAGUAAGAUAGUCAGACCGAGCGGAUGGAAAAGCUCGGCCAAGGCGAGACGAGGGCAUAGAGUGAAGUACCUAUGUAGAAAUCGGAGCGCUGAUGGGGAUGUGAAGAAAAGUAAAUAAGCUGACGAAUCUACACUGGCGAGAAAAGCUGCUAAAUAAGGAUUAAGGUACCCGUACCGCAAACCGACACAGGUAGACGCGAAGAAAAUUCAAAGACGAACGGGAGAACUCUUGUUAAGGAACUCGGCAAAAUGACCCCGUAACUUCGGGAGAAGGGGAGCCACAGCGAUGUGGUCGCAGUGAAGAGGUCCAAGCAACUGUUUAUCAAAAACACAGGUCUCUGCGAAAUCGAAAGAUGACGUAUAGGGGCUGACGCCUGCCCAGUGCCGGAAGGUUAAGGGGAGAUGUGCAAGCAUUGAACUUAAGCCCCGGUGAACGGCGGCCGUAACUAUAACGGUCCUAAGGUAGCGAAAUUCCUUGUCGGGUAAGUUCCGACCCGCACGAAAGGCGUAAUGAUUUGGACGCUGUCUCAACAGGGGGCCCGGCGAAAUUGUAGUAUACGUGAAGAUGCGUAUUAACCCGCGACUGGACGGAAAGACCCCGUAGAGCUUUACUGUAACUUGAUAUUGGAACACGACAACGAAUGCACAGGAUAGGUGGGAGACGAAGAGAUAAGAGCUUUGGCUUUUAUGGAGUCGCUGUUGGGAUACCACCCUUUCAUUGUUGGGUUUCUAACGGACAGCCGUGAACCGGUGUACGGACAGUGUCAGGUGGGCAGUUUGACUGGGGCGGUCGCCUCCUAAAGAGUAACGGAGGCGCCCAAAGGUUCCCUCAGGAUGGUUGGAAAUCAUCCAUAGAGUGCAAAGGCAGAAGGGAGCUUAACUGUGAGACAGGCAUGUCGAACAGAUGCGAAAGCAGGGCUUAGUGAUCCGGCGGUAGAGAAUGGAAUUGCCGUCG